GGGGGAGCUGGACGCCUUGGGACGGAGAAAGGAUGUGCCGAGGACGGGGUGACAGGGACAGGUCCCCCUCCGAGGGGUGGCAGGCGGGGGCACCCACUCAUGACAUGUCACCAAUGCUCAGCACAAAACGGACACAGAUGAGCCUCCC